rnacentral:lncRNA from 1 species
AGCAGCUGGACUUGAGGAGAGCUCGGUUCUCGGAGUUGCCCAGCAUGCCUCACUCCAAGAGCAACUUCGCCGCCGUCAUUCUGGAAGGCUGCAUUUACACCAUUGGAGGUUUCAAUGGACUGUCAACUGUGCGACUCGUCGAGCGCUAUGACAUCGCCGCCCGGAAGUGGUUCACCGCCCCUGAGCUCGGCGUAAACUGCAGUGCGUCCACCGCCUGCAUCAUCACCGACCUCUCCAACCCCGCCGCCUGGAUAUAAGCAUCCGCCGCUUAUCGCACCUGCGGGGCGGAGCACCGCGAUGACCCUAGACGACCCGCAAGCCUGACAUCGUCAUCCCAGUAACACCAGCCGUGUCGCUCUAUAUGCGCCAGUAGCGAAAGAAUGGCACAAGAAAGCUGGCUGAAAAACGCAUAAAAGAAUGAAAUGACAUGAAUG